AAUCUAAAAACAUACUUAUCUAGGCUGCUUUUCAGACGAAAAGAAAAUUAUAGAACUUGGUUGUCAUGAUGGGGUUGACUGGUUUUAGCAGACAGCAGGAGUUUUCUGUUAUGAGAACAACUAUGUCAUAUGGAUAUUGCAAACUGCAGGCAUAAGGAUGAUACCAGAAUCUGUUAUAGAGCUUGGCUGAAGAAGAAAUAAAAGCAGAGCAGGACGUAGUGGAAGGGAUGGAUAUCUCCACUCGAUCCAAAGUAUGCCAUCUCAAUACACUUCUGACAGCAAGAACACCUGAGCUUGGAAUUCUUGUGAAGCAGAAUGGCAUUUCUUUAAAUUUGUGCUCACUUGAACUAUUUAUCGUCUCAAGCCUCCUAGUUACUGUCUUUCAAUUAAUAUUGUCUAUUUUAAAAGUUUGUUUUGUAUUUCCAUUAAAAGUGUUAUAUUCAGUUACU
rnacentral:lncRNA from 1 species